AUAGGACACUUCAUAACCUUUUGUAAUUGCAAUCAGCGUCAUAAAAACUAUAAUAGUUACAACUUUCAACAACGGAUCUCUUGGUUCUGGCAUCGAUGAAGAACGCAGCGAAAUGCGAAAAGUAGUGUGAAUUGCAGAAUUCAGUGAAUCAUCGAAUCUUUGAACGCACAUUGCGCCCCUUGGUAUUCCAUGGGGCAUGCCUGUUCGAGCGUCAUUUGUACCCUCAAGCUCUGCUUGGUGUUGGGUGUUUGUCCCGCCUUCGCGUGUGGACUCGCCUUAAAGUCAUUGGCAGCCGGAAUAAUUCUGGGGAACGCAGCACAACUGCAGCCUCCAUUUUACGCCGAGCGUCCAGUAAGCCUUUUUUUCACGUUUGACCUCGGAUCAGGUAGGGAUACCCGCUGAACUUAAGCAUAUCAAUAAGCGGAGGAACAU
rnacentral:rRNA from 1 species